UGCGUAGGCGGAAAUUUAAGUCAGUGAUGAAAUCCUGCGGCUCAACUGUAGAACUGUCAUUGAUACUGAAUUUCUUGAAUACAGUUGAGGUUGGCGGAAUGUGUAAUGUAGCGGUGAAAUGCUUAGAUAUUACACAGAACACCGAUUGCGAAGGCAGCUAACUAAACUGAUAUUGACGCUGAGGCACGAAAGCGUGGGGAGCGAACAGGAUUAGAUACCCUGGUAGUCC
rnacentral:rRNA from 1 species